rnacentral:rRNA from 1 species
GAUGAACGCUGGCGGCGUGCUUAACACAUGCAAGUCGAACGAUGAAGCCCAGCUUGCUGGGUGGGUUAGUGGCGAACGGGUGAGUAACACGUGAGUAACCUGCCCCUAACUCUGGGAUAAGCCUGGGAAACUGGGUCUAAUACCGGAUAGGAGCGUCCACCGCAUGGUGGGGGUUGGAAAGAUUUAUCGGUUUUGGAUGGACUCGCGGCCUAUCAGCUUGUUGGUGAGGUAAUGGCUCACCAAGGCGACGACGGGUAGCCGGCCUGAGAGGGUGACCGGCCACACUGGGACUGAGACACGGCCCAGACUCCUACGGGAGGCAGCAGUGGGGAAUAUUGCACAAUGGGCGCAAGCCUGAUGCAGCGACGCCGCGUGAGGGAUGACGGCCUUCGGGUUGUAAACCUCUUUCAGUAGGGAAGAAGCGAAAGUGACGGUACCUGCAGAAGAAGCACCGGCUAACUACGUG